rnacentral:rRNA from 1 species
UAAUACCGCAUACGUCCUACGGGAGCACAAGCAGGGGAUCACUUGUGACCUUGCGCUAAUAGAUGAGCCUAAGUCGGAUUAGCUAGUUGGUGGGGUAAAGGCCUACCAAGGCGACGAUCUGUAGCGGGUCUGAGAGGAUGAUCCGCCACACUGGGACUGAGACACGGCCCAGACUCCUACGGGAGGCAGCAGUGGGGAAUAUUGGACAAUGGGGGGAACCCUGAUCCAGCCAUGCCGCGUGUGUGAAGAAGGCCUUAUGGUUGUAAAGCACUUUAAGCGAGGAGGAGGCUCUUUUGGUUAAUACCCAAGAUGAGUGGACGUUACUCGCAGAAUAAGCACCGGCUAACUCUGUGCCAGCAGCCGCGGUAAUACAGAGGGUGCAAGCGUUAAUCGGAUUUACUGGGCGUAAAGCGCGCGUA